GAUGAACGCUGGCGGCGCGCCUAAUACAUGCAAGUCGAGCGAAUGGAUUAAGAGCUUGCUCUUAUGAAGUUAGCGGCGGACGGGUGAGUAACACGUGGGUAACCUGCCCAUAAGACUGGGAUAACUCCGGGAAACCGGGGCUAAUACCGGAUAACAUUUUGAACCGCAUGGUUCGAAAUUGAAAGGCGGCUUCGGCUGUCACUUAUGGAUGGACCCGCGUCGCAUUAGCUAGUUGGUGAGGUAACGGCUCACCAAGGCAACGAUGCGUAGCCGACCUGGUAGGGUGCUCGGCCACACUGGGACUGAGACACGGCCCAGACUCCUACGGGAGGCAGCAGUAGGGAAUCUUCCGCAAUGGACGAAAGUCUGACGGAGCAACGCCGCGUGAGUGAUGAAGGCUUUCGGGUCGUAAAACUCUGUUGUUAGGGAAGAACAAGUGCUAGUUGAAUAAGCUGGCACCUUGACGGUACCUAACCAGAAAGCCACGGCUAACUACGUGCCAGCAGCCGCGGUAA
rnacentral:rRNA from 1 species